GCAAUCUGCGAGUGCCGAAAAAAGGAGUCUGUGGAGUAAAUACGAUUUUAAUUAAAUGUAAAUCACAUUGUCAGCCCGCGCCGUGGCCAGCAGCAGCAGCAGCAGCAGCAGCAGCCAAAGGAAAAGGCGAGCAGAAGGUAGUCUCCUGCUUGCAUACCCUUUGGAGUCGCGAAAUAAAUGUCUCUUCGUUCUGUGUUUAGCAAGGGAAUACAAGCGGCGCGAGUGGGGCAGCCACAGCGACGCAGCGGGAGAGGCCACCGCCAGCGGCAAAUCCAACAAAAGGUCCGCAGCAACCAAAGCCCUUGUGGCUGGAGCCAAACAACCACAAAAACAGCAGCGGAAUAUUGCUUUCCCAUGUUACACACAAACCACAAAUAACCAGAGAGCCAGUGCCAGCGCCAGUGCCAGAGUUGUGCGGCAACAGAGCUGUGGCAAAAACUUCUAGAUACUAUUAAUUAAAAUACAAUUUAGGCACAUUGGGGAGCAGCAGCUUAACUUUCCAGGACAUGUAACGCUUAUCCUUCGAUGGAAGAGCAGCAAAAAGC
rnacentral:lncRNA from 1 species